rnacentral:rRNA from 1 species
AGUGAACGCUGGCGGUAGGCCUAACACAUGCAAGUCGAACGGCAGCACAGUAAAAGCUUGCUCUUACGGGUGGCGAGUGGCGGACGGGUGAGGAAUACAUCGGAAUCUACUUUUUCGUGGGGGUUAACGUAGGGAAACUUACGCUAAUACCGCAUACGACCUACGGGUGAAAGCAGGGGAUCUUCGGACCUUGCGCGAUUGAAUGAGCCGAUGUCGGAUUAGCUAGUUGGCGGGGUAAAGGCCCACCAAGGCGACGAUCCGUAGCUGGUCUGAGAGGAUGAUCAGCCACACUGGAACUGAGACACGGUCCAGACUCCUACGGGAGGCAGCAGUGGGGAAUAUUGGACAAUGGGCGCAAGCCUGAUCCAGCCAUACCGCGUGGGUGAAGAAGGCCUUCGGGUUGUAAAGCCCUUUUGUUGGGAAAGAAAAGCAGCAGGUUAAUACCCCGCUGUUCUGACGGUACCCAAAGAAUAAGCACCGGCUAACUUCGUG